rnacentral:rRNA from 1 species
ACAGAGGGGGCAAGCGUUGUUCGGAAUUACUGGGCGUAAAGGGCGCGUAGGCGGCCUUCUAAGUCGAACGUGAAAUCCCUCGGCUUAACCGAGGAACUGCCUGCCAGACUGCUUGGCUUGAGACCGGGAGAGGUGAGUGGAAUUCCCAGUGUAGCGGUGAAAUGCGUAGAUAUUCGCAAGAACACAGUGGCGAAGGCGGCUCACUGGCCCGAUACUGACGCUGAGGUGCGAAAGCGUGGGGAGCAAACAGGA